AACGAACGCUGGCGGCAGGCUUAGCACAUGCAAGUCGAGCGCCCCGCAAGGGGAGCGGCAGACGGGUGAGUAACGCGUGGGAAUCUACCCAUCUCUACGGAAUAACGCAUGGAAACGUGUGCUAAUACCGUAUACGUCCUUCGGGGGAAAGAUUUAUCGGAGAUGGAUGAGCCCGCGUUGGAUUAGCUAGUUGGUGGGGUAAAGGCCUACCAAGGCGACGAUCAAUAGCUGGUCUGAGAGGAUGAGCAGCCACACUGGGACUGAGACACGGCCCAGACUCCUACGGGAGGCAGCAGUGGGGAAUAUUGGACAAUGGGCGCAAGCCUGAUCCAGCCAUGCCGCGUGAGUGAUGAAGGCCCUAGGGUUGUAAAGCUCUUUCACCGGUGAAGAUAAUGACGGUAACCGGAGAAGAAGCCCCGGCUAACUUCGUGCCAGCCGCCGCCGUAACAC
rnacentral:rRNA from 1 species